UGUUGCAGAUCAUCAAGAACACGUAGAGAAACCCAGCUGUAAUCAUGCAUGGAGAUACACCUACAUUGCAUGAAUAUAUGUUAGAUUUGCAACCAGAGACAACUGAUCUCUACUGUUAUGAGCAA
rnacentral:miRNA from 1 species